GACAGAGGCCUCGAGCGUUAGGCGGAAUCACUGGGCGUAAAGGGUGCGUAGGCGGGUCUUUAAGUCAGGGGGGAAAUCCUGGAGCUCAACUCCAGAACUGCCUUUGAUACUGAAGAUCUUGAGUUCGGGAGAGGUGAGUGGAACUGCGAGUGUAGAGGUGAAAUUCGUAGAUAUUCGCAAGAACACCAGUGGCGAAGGCGGCUCACUGGCCCGAUACUGACGCUGAGGCACGAAAGCGUGGGGAGCAAACAGG
rnacentral:rRNA from 1 species